rnacentral:snoRNA from 15 species
UGGCACACCAGUAGACCUUGUGUAACUGCCUGUAGUCACACAAGGGGGACAGUGUGUGCCAGAGGAAGCAGAGCUGCUGUGAGCCUAUGGCCAGCACUAUCAGUGGUUGGCUGUAUCACAUUACUCUGACAUCU